rnacentral:rRNA from 1 species
AGAGCGUACGCUGGCGGCACGCCUAAUACAUGCAAGUCGAACGAAGUAGCAAUACUUAGUGGCAGACGGGUGAGUAACAUGUAGGUAUCUACCCUUUGGCCUGGAAUAACACGAGGAAACUUGUGCUAAUACCGGAUAAGUCUUUACGGAGAAAGCUUUAUGCACCAUUGGAUGAGCCUGCACUUGAUUAGUUUGUUGGUGGGGUAAUGGCCUACCAAGACAAUGAUCAAUAGCUGAUUUGAGAGGAUGAUCAGCCACAUUGGGACUGAGACACGGCCCAAACUCCUACGGGAGGCAGCAGUAGGGAAUCUUGCACAAUGGAGGAAACUCUGAUGCAGCGAUGCCGCGUGAGUGAAGAAGGCCCUUGGGUUGUAAAGCUCUUUCGUCGGGGAAGAAAAUGACUGUACCCGAAUAAGAAGGUCCGGCUAACUUCGUGCCAGCAGCCGCGGUAAUACGAAGGGACCUAGCGUAGUUCGGAAUUACUGGGCUUAAAGAGUUCGUAGGUGGUUAAAAAAGUUGGUGGUGAAAUCCCAGAGCUUAACUCUGGAACUGCCAUCAAAACUUUUUAGCUAGAGUAUGAUAGAGGAAAGCAGAAUUUCUAGUGUAGAGGUGAAAUUCGUAGAUAUUAGAAAGAAUACCGAUUGCGAAGGCAGCUUUCUGGAUCAUUACUGACACUGAGGAACGAAAGCAUGGGUAGCGAAGAGGAUUAGAUACCCUCGUAGUCCAUGCCGUAAACGAUGUGUGUUAGACGUUGGAAAUUUAUUUUCAGUGUCGCAGCGAAAGCAAUAAACACACCGCCUGGGGAGUACGACCGCAAGGUUAAAACUCAAAUGAAUUGACGGGGACCCGCACAAGUAGUGGAGCAUGUGGUUUAAUUCGAAGAUACGCGCAGAACCUUACCAACACUUGACAUGUUCGUCGCGACUCUAAGAGAUUAGAGUUUUCGGUUCGGCCGGACGAAACACAGGUGCUGCAUGGCUGUCGUCAGCUCGUGUCGUGAGAUGUUGGGUUAAGUCCCGCAACGAGCGCAACCCUCACUUUUAGUUGCCAUCAUUUAGUUGGGCACUCUGAAAGAACUGCCAGUGAUAAGCUGGAGGAAGGUGGGGAUGACGUCAAGUCCUCAUGGCCCUUACGUGUUGGGCUACACACGUGCUACAAUGGUAUCUACAACAGGAAGCAAGACUGCGAAGUUAAGCAAAUCCCUAAAAGAUACCUCAGUUCGGAUUGCACUCUGCAACUCGAGUGCAUGAAGCUGGAAUUACUAGUAAUCGUGGAUCAGCGUGCCACGGUGAAUGCGUUCCCGGGUCUUGUACACACCGCCCGUCACACCAUGGGAGUUGGUUCUACCUUAAG